UACGGAGGGUGCGAGCGUUGUCCGGAAUCACUGGGCGUAAAGGGCGCGUAGGCGGCGCGGGGAGUCAACGGUGAAAGCUCGGCGCUCAACGCCGAGUCGGCCGUCGAUACUCCCGUGCUCGAGCACUGUAGAGGCAGGUGGAAUUCCGGGUGUAGCGGUGGAAUGCGUAGAGAUCCGGAAGAACACCGGUGGCGAAGGCGGUGUCCUGGGCCGAUCCUGACGCUGAGGAGCGAAAGCUGGGGGAGCAAACAGG
rnacentral:rRNA from 1 species